GACAGAGGAUGCAAGCGUUAUCCGGAAUGAUUGGGCGUAAAGCGUCUGUAGGUGGCUUUUAAGUCCGCCGUCAAAUCCCAGGGCUUAACCCUGGACAGGCGGUGGAAACUACCAAGCUGGAGUACGGUAGGGCAGAGGGAAUUUCCGGUGGAGCGGUGAAAUGCGUAGAGAUCGGAAAGAACACCAACGGCGAAGGCACUCUGCUGGGCCGACACUGACACUGAGAGACGAAAGCUAGGGAGCAAAUGGG
rnacentral:rRNA from 1 species